rnacentral:rRNA from 1 species
AGUGAACGCUGGCGGUAGGCCUAACACAUGCAAGUCGAACGGCAGCACAGUAAGAGCUUGCUCUUACGGGUGGCGAGUGGCGGACGGGUGAGGAAUACAUCGGAAUCUACUUUUUCGUGGGGGAUAACGUAGGGAAACUUACGCUAAUACCGCAUACGACCUACGGGUGAAAGCAGGGGAUCUUCGGACCUUGCGCGAUUGAAUGAGCCGAUGUCGGAUUAGCUAGUUGGCGGGGUAAAGGCCCACCAAGGCGACGAUCCGUAGCUGGUCUGAGAGGAUGGUCAGCCGCACUGGAACUGAGACACGGUCCAGACUCCUACGGGAGGCAGCAGUGGGGAAUAUUGGGCAAUGGGCGCAAGCCUGAUCCAGCCAUACCGCGUGGGUGAAGAAGGCCUUCGGGUUGUAAAGCCCUUUUGUUGGGAAAGAAAAGCAGCAGGUUAAUACCCCGCUGUUCUGACGGUACCCAAAGAAUAAGCACCGGCUAACUUCGUG